rnacentral:rRNA from 1 species
UCGGAUUGUAGUCUGCAACCCGACUACAUGAAGCUGGAAUCGCUAGUAAUCGCGAAUCAGAAUGUCGCGGUGAAUACGUUCCCGGGUCUUGUACACACCGCCCGUCACACCAUGGGAGUCGGAAAUGCCCGAAGUCAGUGACCCAACCGUAAGGAGGGAGCUGCCGAAGGUGGAGCCGGUAACCGGGGUGAAGUCGUAACAAGGUACC